CAGUCGCCGCGGUAAAACGAAGGGUGCAAGCGUUACUCGGAAUUACUGGGCGUAAAGCGUGCGUAGGUGGUGGUUUAAGUCCGUUGUGAAAGCCCUGGGCUCAACCUGGGAAUUGCAGUGGAUACUGGGUCACUAGAGUGUGGUAGAGGAUAGUGGAAUUUCCGGUGUAGCAGUGAAAUGCGUAGAGAUCGGAAGGAACAUCUGUGGCGAAGGCGACUAUCUGGGCCAACACUGACACUGAGGCACGAAAGCGUGGGGAGCAAACAGGAUUAGAUACCCGCGUAGUCCCUGUCUCUUAUAC
rnacentral:rRNA from 1 species